UCAGCCUACGGGGGGCAGCAGUGGGGAAUAUUGCACAAUGGGGGAAACCCUGAUGCAGCGACGCCGCGUGAGUGAAGAAGUAUUUCGGUAUGUAAAGCCCUAUCAGCAGGGAAGAAGAAAGACGGUACCUGACUAAGAAGCCCCGGCUAACUACGUGCCAGCAGCCGCGGUAAUACGUAGGGGGCAAGCGUUAUCCGGAUUUACUGGGUGCAAAGGGAGCGUAGACGGCUGUGCAAGACUGAAGUGAAAGGAAAGGGCUCAACAUUUGGACUGCUUUGGAAACUGUGCAGAUAGAGUGUCGGAGA
rnacentral:rRNA from 1 species